rnacentral:rRNA from 1 species
UACGAAGGGGACUAGCGUUGUUCGGAAUAACUGGGCGUAAAGCGCACGUAGGCGGAUUAUUAAGUCAGGGGUGAAAUCCCGGGGCUCAACCUCGGAACUGCCUUUGAUACUGGUAAUCUCGAGUCCGGAAGAGGUGAGUGGAAUUCCUAGUGUAGAGGUGAAAUUCGUAGAUAUUAGGAAGAACACCGGUGGCGAAGGCGGCUCACUGGUCCGGUACUGACGCUGAGGUGCGAAAGCGUGGGGAG